rnacentral:rRNA from 1 species
GGCGAACGCUGGCGGCGUGCUUAACACAUGCAAGUCGAACGGAAAGGCCCUGCUUUCGUGGGGUGCUCGAGUGGCGAACGGGUGAGUAACACGUGAGUAACCGGCUCUUGAUUUUGGGAUAACUUCAGGAAACUGGGGCUAAUCCCGGAUAGGAUCUCCUGUUGCAUGGUGGGGGUUGGAACUUUUCGCUUGUCGGGGAUGGACUCGCGGGUUACCACCUAGUUGGUGGGGGAGUGGCUUACCAAGCCUUUGAACGGUCCCCGGCCUGGGAGGGUGACCGGCGACAUUGGUACUAAGAUACGGCCCAGACGCCUACGUGAGGCAGUAGGGGGGAAUAUUGCCCAAUGGGCGCAAGCCUGAUGCAGCAACGCCGCGUGCGGGAUGACGUCCUUCGGGUUAAAAACCGCUUUCGCCUGUGACGAAGCGUGACUGACGGUAAUGGAUAAAGAAGCACCGGCUAACUACGUG